UACGGGGGGGGCAAGCGUUGUUCGGAAUUACUGGGCGUAAAGGGCGCGUAGGCGGCCAACUAAGUCAGACGUGAAAUCCCUCGGCUUAACCGGGGAACUGCGUCUGAUACUGGAUGGCUUGAGUUUGGGAGAGGGAUGCGGAAUUCCAGGUGUAGCGGUGAAAUGCGUAGAUAUCUGGAGGAACACCGGUUGCGAAGGCGGCAUCCUGGACCGAUACUGACGCUGAGGAGCGAAAGCCAGGGGAGCAAACGGG
rnacentral:rRNA from 1 species